rnacentral:rRNA from 1 species
GUUAAGUCAGAUGUGAAAUCCCCGGGCUCAACCUGGGAACUGCAUCUGAUACUGGCAAGCUUGAGUCUCGUAGAGGGGGGUAGAAUUCCAGGUGUAGCGGUGAAAUGCGUAGAGAUCUGGAGGAAUACCGGUGGCGAAGGCGGCCCCCUGGACGAAGACUGACGCUCAGGUGCGAAAGCGUGGGGAGCAAACAGGAUUAGAUAC